rnacentral:rRNA from 1 species
UACGUAGGGGGCAAGCGUUGUCCGGAAUCAUUGGGCGUAAAGCGCGCGCAGGCGGUCUUCCAAGUCAGUGGUGAAAGCCCGGAGCUCAACUCCGGAACUGCCAUUGAAACUGUAAGACUUGAGGACGAGAGAGGUGAGUGGAAUUCCCAGUGUAGAGGUGAAAUUCGUAGAUAUUGGGAAGAACACCAGUGGCGAAGGCGGCUCACUGGCUCGUAUCUGACGCUCAGGCGCGAAAGCGUGGGGAUCAAACAGG